UGGGGAAUAUUGCACAAUGGGCGCAAGCCUGAUGCAGCCAUGCCGCGUGUAUGAAGAAGGCCUUCGGGUUGUAAAGUACUUUCAGCGGGGGGGAAGGGAGUAAAGUUAAUACCUUUUCUCAUUGACGUUACCCGCAGAAGAAGCACCGGCUAACUCCGUGCCAGCAGCCGCGGUAAUACGGAGGGUGCAAGCGUUAAUCGGAAUUACUGGGCGUAAAGCGCACGCAGGCGGUUUGUUAAGUCAGAUGUGAAAUCCCCGGGCUCAACCUGGGAACUGCAUCUGAUACUGGCAAGCUUGAGUCUCGUAGAGGGGGGUAGAAUUCCAGGUGUAGCGGUGAAAUGCGUAGAGAUCUGGAGGAAUACCGGUGGCGAAGGCGGCCCCCUGGACGAAGACUGACGCUCAGGUGCGAAAGCGUGGGGAGCAAACAGG
rnacentral:rRNA from 1 species